rnacentral:misc_RNA from 1 species
UAUCGAGCACCAGUUCGAAGAACCACGCGCCGGCGAUGGUCGCGGCGCCAAUGACCGCAAUACCCGCACCGGCAAUAAAUAUUGCGUCACGCGGGUGGUUAAAUGUGUCCCGAUGCCGUCGUGGUGCCGUUUGACACGCAAAAUCUCCUGUCCGGCAUGGGUCCUAGCUUGCCUGCCGUCCGCUGUCGACGCUUGGCAUGAUCACAGGCGG